GAGUACAUACAUCUACAAAGAUUAAUCAGCCAAAGUGGUCAAUAACUUUAGAGAAAUUUCUCAAUACAAGAGAGGCCAAGUAAUUCUUUAGGAUUAUAUGUUGGUUAAUAACAAUGGAGAAAGCAUCCAAGGAAGCCUCUUUGGAAGAGUCGCACCUUUGACGCUAAAACACACAAGUCACAAGUCACAACUCAAGUCACCACGCACGCACGCACGCACGCACAACACAUUUACUCGCGCGCCUACAACCUUCUUUUCUUCUUCUCUCUCUUCUGUUAACUGACGCCCCCAGCGCAAGAUAGCAAAUUUCCAUUAGUCAAAACACAACUAUAAAGUUAAUUUUAAUUGUAUAUGGUUUUGGUUGGUCCUAAAACCCUUGCAAAACCCUUUGAUUAAUUUUUACGUUCAUCGACGACCUCGCACGAUCGAUCAUGUUGAAGCCACUCCAGCUGGUGAAGGAGAAUGCGUCUGCGCACCCGAAAACCUGGAUCGCCGUUGGACUCGGGGUCGCCGGAGUCUUGAUUUUGGUUGAGACUAGCCGCCGCCGGAGGAGGAGAAUCGCCAUGGUUGGUAAUAAAGAGGAUUUCGGUGCUUUCUUGGAGCGAUUUGAACUUCUUCCUUUCCUUCAGCCUCCUCCCCCUGCCGCUAGACUUUCUCUUUCUGAACUCACCUUCGCCAUUUCCGACAUAUUUGAAGUGAAAGACUAUUUGACGGGGUUUGGGAAUCCGGAUUGGCGGAGAACUCAUGAGGCAGCUGAGAAGACGGCGUUGGUAGUGACUUCUUUGCUGAAGAAUGGGGCUAAAUGUGUUGGUAGGACUGUCAUGGACGAGCUUGGUUUUGGGAUAACUGGGGAGAAUGUUCAUUAUGGUACUCCCGUUAAUCCACAUGUACCCUCCUGCAUUCCUGGAGGUUCAUGUAGUGGUUCGGCUGUGGCCGUUGCAGCUAGACUUGUCGACUUUGCUAUUGGUACUGAUACAACUGGAUGUGUAAGAAUACCGGCAUCAUUUUGUGGUUUAAUAGGGUUCCGCCCCUCUCAUGGAGCUGUAUCUACAAUUGGAGUGUUGCCAAAUUCUCAAAGUUUGGAUGCUGUUGGAAUCUUUUCCAGCGACCCAUCUGUUCUACAUCGUGUUGGACAUGUCUUGCUUCGACUGAAUUCAGUGGAACCUAAGAGGCCCAGACGUCUUAUUUUUGCUGAUGAUCUUUUUCAGCUGUCUAAGAUUCCUACACAGAGGACAGUACACGUUGUCAGCAAAGCUAUUGAAAAUCUAUCUGGGUACCAGCCACCAAAGCAUAUGAAUUUUGGAAAGCAUAUUGCUUCAAAUGUGCCCAGUCUGAAAGGCUUUUGUGAAGUUUCUUCAAACGUUCAAAGUGGAGCAUUUGCUUUGAAAGCUCUGUCAUCUGCGAUGGUUACAUUGCAAAGAUAUGAAUUUAAAUCAAACCAUGAAGAGUGGGUUAAAUCAGUUAAACCGAAGUUAGGACCUGGUGUAUCAGAUUGUGUAUAUGCAGCAAUUAAGACAACAUAUGACAAUAUUAAAACCUUGUAUAAAGUUAGGACUGAGAUGCGAGCUACCCUUCAAAGUUUACUAAAGGAUGACGGAAUAUUAGUAGUUCCCACUGUAGCAGAUCCUCCAUUGAAGCUUCGUACAAGGAAAGGGCCAUUCUCUGAGUUCCUUGACCGCACAUUGGCACUAACAAGUAUUGCAAGCAUGUCUGGGUGCUGUCAGGUUACGAUUCCAGUUGGAAAGCACAACGAUUCUCCCAUUUCUGUUUCAUUUAUCUCAUUUCAUGGUGCUGAUAAAUUUCUUCUUGAUACGGUCUUGGAUAUGUACUCUUGUCUGCAAGAGCAAGCCAGUGUUGCAUCCAAUUCACUGCCAUUGCCAGAUACCAAUGGUAGCAUAGAUGCUUCUGAACUUUUGAAAGAGAAGGGCAAUGCUGCCUUCAAGGGAAAGCAAUGGAAUAAGGCUGUGAAUUACUAUUCUGAAGCUAUCAAAUUAAAUGCUACAAAUGCAACUUACUAUUGUAAUCGGGCAGCUGCAUACUUAGAGUUAGGCUGCUUCCAGGAAGCAGAGGAAGACUGCAGCAACGCAAUGGAAAUUGACAAGAAGAACGUGAAGGCAUAUUUGAGACGUGGAACGGCUAGAGAAUCACUUAUUCGCUAUAAAGAAGCUAUGCAAGAUUUUAAGCAUGCUCGUGUUCUUGAACCGCACAAUAAGGCUGCUAAAUUUGCUGAGAAAAGACUGAUGAAGCUAAUGAAUUAAGGGUUUGAUCCCGUUCCACAAAUGGCAACCUCAGUCUCACGCAAGUUAAAAUUCUGCCAAUGACUUUUUGUUAGCAUGAAACAUUUAAUAUUCUCAUCUGGUUGGAGCAUGAAGUCUGACAAAGAAGAGGACAUCACUUUCUUUCUUUUGGGUGCGUAUGACUAUAUGAGCAUCUCCAUGGGCAGCCCACUAGAGUGGUCUAAUGUGGUCAAGUUCCUACACCAAUUUCAUCGUAGUGUUGCUCAAAUAAGAUCACGUCCAUGUGGCAUUUCUCUCUUUUUUAUUUUCUUUAAAAAGAAAUUACCAUUUGAAAAAAAAUGAUUAAUUUAAUGUUUAUAUAUAUAUAUGUAUAUACUUUUUUGGUAACUAUAGAUGUGCCCAUUGGAGAUGGUGUAAUACUAAUAAUAAUAAUCUGUACCUAUAAAAUUGCUUGCGUAUCUAACUCUUCUCAUUUUUAAUAGACAAUACUUUCUUAUUGAAAGUCAA